rnacentral:tRNA from 1 species
GCGAGUAUAGUUUAAUGGCAGAAUAACAGUUUUCCAAACUGUGGGCGGGGGUUCGAUUCCCCCUACUCGCA